ensembl:lncRNA
AGACAGGCUCAGCUCUCAGUUCCUUCAGGGUGGGUUGCAGACAUCUGCCUCGCCCAGGCCAUGUCUGAGGUCCUGCUGGGCUGGUGGAGGGCUCCUGGGACUGUGCGUCAGUUCAGCUCCUCCCUCUGCCCAGUCCUGCCACCUCCCCAUUCCCUUGCAGGUGCGGGCCACUGGCAAGCAUGUUCAUCCAUCCUCAGCACCCGCCACCCCAGGAGCCAGCCUGCAUAGCCAGGCACGCGGUGAGCCCUCUGUCAACAUCCCGUGACUGCAUUGUUAUGAUGAAGCCUGCCCUAGUGCAUCUAUUAGGCUGGAAGGCAAGUAGAUGAAUUCAAAAUUGGGAAGAAGUGAAAAGCCAGAGGCAGGAGGCGCUCGGGGCAUUUACCCUCAAAACGGCUGAGACCUCAGCAGCCCCAGAGCCGGGUGAGCCUGAGAAAUGGACAUACAUUGAGGGAAGAGGAAAAGCCGAGAAAGAAGCGGUUUGAACGGGGGGUGAUGUCACCGGUUACACGCGUGGUUUCUCGUGGUUUAACGCGGGUCCUGGAGAUAUUUGCAGAACCUGCGCUCAAAUGCCAGCUUCUUGCUGGCGAUGUCACCGCCCAUCCCGGUUCACGGGGGCAGGUGACGAUGUCUCACACUCCUCAGCAUGCACGCCCGCGUGAAUCAGGGCUUGGGGGAGUGGGAACUCGGACCAGAAUAUCUUGGUAUUUAGUAACACAGGAAAGGACACGGAUGGGAAGCUGCCGCUAAAUGCCUAGCGAGAGCCGCUCACGGGGGGCUGAGGGGAUGUUGUAAGUAAAUUCCACGCAGCCACCCCAUGAACCCCUUGAAACCGGCCGUGGAGGAGCUCGCUGGGUGAUGGUCAGGGCACACCUCGGAGGCUUCUCAGGGGGCAGGAGGGUGGGGACAGGCUCUGGGCUGCCUCUGGGGAGACUGUGGUUAUCUGGGGGUGUCAUCAAUGUGGGUUUGGUGGAAAUCGCCUGUGGGGAGAUGACUCCAGGAAGAACCCAGGAAGCAGCUGUGGACCUCUGGUGGGUCGGUGUCCUGGGUUCUCCGCUACUGUGUUGUGUCCUAGGAAAGCAGGGGUGACGUGGAGCAUAUCCCACCGCCCGCUGCGGCACCAGAGCCAGCCCAGGAGCCUCCCUUCUCCAAGAGGGGCUUGGAGGGGAACCAUGGGACCCCACAAAAACCAUCCCGCUGGCUGGCUGCAGAGGAGUCGUGAGGUUUCAUCCUGCAUCCAGAGCCAGCAUGAGAGGGCAGCUGGUUCCUGGGGCAUUAAACCCUUCAAGAGGACCCAGAUGUCAUCAGGUGGACAGGACACAGUGAACAAGGCGGAUCAGGCCCUGCUCCCUGGCCCCCCCGCUAGCGGGGAGAGGAAGUCAUCAGGAGAAGCUGGAGUCAUUCCAGAGGGUGCCAGGAUGUCAGGAUGGUGAUUGGAGUCAGGCUCCAGCUCGUUGUUGGAUUUGGAGGUUGUGGGUGAGCUGGGACCUGGGUGACGAACCACAGCUGACCACCCAUCUUUGCGUCCGAGUCCCAGGCUGUUCCCCCCCUGGCUCCCUCACUCACUGUCUGGGUAGUGGCGGUGCCCCAGGUGCCCAGCGCUGUGCCAGGAGCGAGGGAUGGGGGAGUGUGUUGCGGUUACCUCAGUCUGCCCUGCUGUGGGUACAGGGCCUGGGGGGCCAACCACUUGGCUCCCCGCAUGCAGGCCUCCAGGUGGAGCGGCUCUCAGGCGAGGAGCUGACCUAGGAACCGUCCUGGGGAGCUUGUCCUCACUUGGAUGAGAUCCCGGACUCGGAACAGAGGCUGUGACGGGUUGAGACUUUUGGGGUCUGCUGGGAGGGGGAGCGAGGAUAUUUUGCACGGGAAGAAAUGCAGGACUCGGUGUCCAGAGGGCGGAGGGUGACACUUUGAAAUGUGUCCUCAAAUCCUUGGGCCUGCUCGUCAAACAGUGGGACCUAAUGCAGCACUUUCCCUGAAUGUGGGCCAGACUUGGUGACGCGCUUCUGACAAACAGAAAAGGAGCAGAGUGACGGUGGACACGCGAGACCCGGCCAUCGAAGGCACCGCGGCUCGCCACUGGCCCUCCCUAGGAUCCCUCACCUGCAGGGGCAGUGGCCACAUGACCACAUGGGAGGACACUCCAGACGCUCAGAUGGGGACGUCCACGUGGCGAGGCGCAGAGGCCUCCUACCGACAGCCACGUGGGUGCCGCCACCUCAGAAGGGGAGCUGCCCACUCGGGGGCGUGUCAGAUGAUGGCCCCUGACUCUGUGACUGCACUUUCAGAGUCACAGAGUGACACAGGGAGACAGAGAGCCAGGCCACGAGGACGCUCCUGAAUCCCUGACCCUCAGAUCCUGCGGGACAUUAAACAGCUAAGUUCUGGG